UAUGUCUUCGGAUAUAGAGACCGGCGCACGGGUGCGUAACGCGUAUGCAAUCUACCUUUUACAGAGGGAUAGCCCAGAGAAAUUUGGAUUAAUACCUCAUAGUAUAGCUCUACCGCAUGGUAGUACUAUUAAAGUCACAACGGUAAAAGAUGAGCAUGCGUCCCAUUAGCUAGUUGGUAAGGUAACGGCUUACCAAGGCAACGAUGGGUAGGGGUCCUGAGAGGGAGAUCCCCCACACUGGUACUGAGACACGGACCAGACUCCUACGGGAGGCAGCAGUGAGGAAUAUUGGACAAUGGGCGCAAGCCUGAUCCAGCCAUGCCGCGUGCAGGAUGACGGUCCUAUGGAUUGUAAACUGCUUUUGUACGAGAAGAAACACUGCUUCGUGAAGCAGCUUGACGGUAUCGUAAGAAUAAGGAUCGGCUAACUCCGUGCCAGCAGCCGCGGUAAUACGGAGGAUCCAAGCGUUAUCCGGAAUCAUUGGGUUUAAAGGGUCCGUAGGCGGUUUAGUAAGUCAGUGGUGAAGCCCAUCGCUCAACGGUGGAACGGCCAUUGAUACUGCUGAACUUGAAUUAUUAGGAAGUAACUAGAAUAUGUAGUGUAGCGGUGAAAUGC
rnacentral:rRNA from 1 species